rnacentral:rRNA from 11 species
ACCAGGUACAUUGUCAACAAGACACCAGACUCCAUUUGAUCUUGGAAACUAAGCAGGGUUAAACUUGGUUGAGACUUGGAUGGUGGAUCACCAAUGAAUACAAGGUCCUGUAGGUU